rnacentral:rRNA from 1 species
GAGUUUGAUCAUGGCUCAGAUUGAACGCUGGCGGCAGGCCUAACACAUGCAAGUCGAGCGGAUGACGGGAGCUUGCUCCUCGAUUCAGCGGCGGACGGGUGAGUAAUGCCUAGGAAUCUGCCUGGUAGUGGGGGACAACGUUUCGAAAGGAACGCUAAUACCGCAUACGUCCUACGGGAGAAAGCAGGGGACCUUCGGGCCUUGCGCUAUCAGAUGAGCCUAGGUCGGAUUAGCUAGUUGGUGGGGUAAUGGCUCACCAAGGCGACGAUCCGUAACUGGUCUGAGAGGAUGAUCAGUCACACUGGAACUGAGACACGGUCCAGACUCUACGGGAGGCAGCAGUGGGGAAUAUUGGACAAUGGGCGAAAGCCUGAUCCAGCCAUGCCGCGUGUGUGAAGAAGGUCUUCGGAUUGUAAAGCACUUUAAGUUGGGAGGAAGGGCAGUAAGUUAAUACCUUGCUGUUUGACGUUACCGACAGAAUAAGCACCGGCUAACUCUGUGCCAGCAC